GCAAACUUGGUCAUUUAGAGGAAGUAAAAGUCGUAACAAGGUUUCCGUAGGUGAACCUGCGGAAGGAUCAUUACCAAUUCUCAGCGGGCCUGGACUCGUCCGUGGUCUCGCGAAACUCUGUAUUUAAAACCUGCUCGUAUCAUAAUCAAAACUUUGUAUCAGUGAGUUAAAAAAAGAUCACUUUCAACAACGGAUCUCUUGGCUCUCAGAGACAGGCAAACUUGGUCAUUUAGAGGAAGUAAAAGUCGUAACAAGGUUUCCGUAGGUGAACCUGCGGAAGGAUCAUUACCAAUUCUCAGCGGGCCUGGACUCGUCCGUGGUCUCGCGAAACUCUGUAUUUAAAACCUGCUCGUAUCAUAAUCAAAACUUUGUAUCAGUGAGUUAAAAAAAGAUCACUUUCAACAACGGAUCUCUUGGCUCUCGCAUCGAUGAAGAACGCAGC
rnacentral:misc_RNA from 1 species